UGGAAAUCUGCCAUGCUCAAAGACUGGAAUAAUCCAGCGCUCACGCGGGGAGCACAACGCGGGCGGAGGCGGCAGCAGAGCCUUUAGGCACGCGUACCCAGAACCUGCCAGGCCAGGAUAACCGGAGUCAAGGACAGUGCAGAGGAGGGGUCUGCGGAAAGGUGGCUCCGAGGCUCAUGGGCCCAGCACGAUGAUGAACACUUUAUGUGCAACCAGGAAAAUAACUGGAACCCCUGAAACUCUGGAGCCCCAGCUUCGGAUAGUCACUUAUCCUUUCCUCCAAAUCAAAAUACAAAAGAACAUAUAAA